ensembl:lncRNA
GUACACGGGAGCUCCUUCACCUGGAAGUUCGCCUGCGUUUACAGCAACACGGCAGUAGCCUUCAGUAGGAAAUGUUCGGCGUUCUGCUUAAAAUCGGAUCCAAAUAAGAUAACGCUCCUGAAGCUCUCUGCAAUUUUUUUUCAAUUACUUACAUGAAAAAGGAAGACACGAUUUGGAUGAGCUAGGACAAUGCUGUAGAUUACAUUUUGUUUAUCCCAGUAUCGCAGGAGGAAUUGUGUUUCACUGCUUUUAGAGAAAUCCAGCCAGUGGAGUCAUUUAUUCCACCGAAACCUCAGAGAGCUCCUUCUGUCACCAGGGUUUACUGUUUCAGCACUUGAUGCUCUGCUCUAAGACUCACCGGAGGUGGACUAAGACCCAGAAUGUGAUUAGAGCUCUGAAUGGCCCUUCAGCCCAGAGUCCCCAGGAGCAUCUCAUGGUGACCGUGAUUUAUAGAGGACACCAAGGUCAUCAAAGCCAUACAGAUUCUCUUGGGCAAGCUUGGUCUGCGUGGUCUGGAAUUUCUGGGGGAUCUUCCCAACUCAGGGAUCGAACCCAGGUCUCCUGCAUUGCAGGUGGAUUCUUUACCAGCUUUCCUAUUUCCCAGAGCGGGCUGGGAAAGGACUCUGAGGCUAAAUGAAGAGGCUCUCCACUGGCCCUGCGUGGAUCCCAUCUGCCCAUUUGGCUGCCAUCCUCUUGACAAAGUGUUUAUCCUCUUUGCUGUGAUACGUGCUUAAAAAAUACCGUGGAUCUGGAAAUCCAUCAAAGACGUCUAAAGAACGCCUGAAGAUCUAUAAGGCCUUUUCCAGUCCCAGCGCCAGCUUUUGAAGUCAAUUUGUCACCACGCCUCCUGUUCGUUGCAAUGGAUGCGUCCUCUGGCGUCCUAAACGCAACAUGACAAGUGACUAAUGUCCUGAGAGGUGAGGCAGGUCCUUGGACUGUGAUCAGGUUGGAAUGAAUGACCACCCCAAGGAGACGUAAUAAAAUUUCCAGCAUCCAAGUUCUGGCCAGGACCUACGGUUUUGAGAACUCAGGCUAAGAAUUUUAAGGGCAAGUUUUGGGCUCAGCUGGGAAUGUGCCCUCGGAGGCAGCAGGCUAAGGGGAAAGAGAUCCAAUUUCAAGGUUAAAACGCUGAGAAAAGUGCUUCAGCUCUUGAGUGCCCUCUUCCUGGAUGAAAUGGGGAUAAAAAUACCUAGCUCCCUGGUUUCUGUAAGGACUGAAGAGCUAAUGAAUAUAGGAAAUGUUUGGCACGACUCUCAGGCCAGUAACUGACAGCUAUUAGUAUUGUUGCCAAAAUCUUGGCUCCCUGUCCACAAGUGCCAAACGGAAAUAGGGAGACAGGAUUUGGAGGAGAUAGAAAGACUGGCUUUAUUAUUUUUGCCAGGCCAAAGGGAAACACGGCAGGCCAGUGCCUCAAGGACUGUGCAGCGCCCCCCACCCCACUUUCUUGGGAACAGGGAGAGGUUUUAUACCCUAUUGAAGGCCUAGCACUUGUUUUCUCUUGCAGUUUCAAAAUGGUCACAGCUGGCAUCAGAUGAAUCAGCAACUGCAUCUUGUGUCCCUGAAGUUAGGAGCCCAUGACCUUCUUUUGGAAAUGCAGAAUGCCACAAGAGAGUGC